rnacentral:rRNA from 1 species
AGGGUUCGAUUCUGGCUCAGGAUGAACGCUAGCGACAGGCCUAACACAUGCAAGUCGAGCGGCAGCACCUCGGGUGGCGAGCGGCGCACGGGUGAGUAACGCGUAUGUAACCUGCCCAUGAGUGGGGGAUAGCCCGGUGAAAACCGGAUUAAUACCCCAUGACACCAUUGUCUGACAUCAUUUAAUGGUUAAAGAUUCAUUGCUCAUGGAUGGACAUGCGUUGGAUUAGCUAGUCGGCGGGGCAACGGCCCACCGAGGCUACGAUCCAUAGGGGUUCUGAGAGGAAGGUCCCCCACAUUGGUACUGAGACACGGACCAAACUCCUACGGGAGGCAGCAGUGAGGAAUAUUGGUCAAUGGGCGGAAGCCUGAACCAGCCAAGUCGCGUGAAGGAAUGAAGGUAUUAUGUAUUGUAAACUUCUUUAGCUGUGGAGAAAUAAGGUGGUCGAGACCACCGAUGCUAGUACACAGAGAAUAAGGAUCGGCUAACUCCGUGCCAGCCGCCGC